GUGUUAUCGCUUUGGCGGCACAUCUACUAAAAUUGGAGCGGUACAGAAAAGAUCAGCGUGACCCCUGCGGAAGGAUGACACAGGUUCAUUUGUACCACAUACAAAUCUU